rnacentral:rRNA from 1 species
GCCCGCGGCCUAUCAGCUUGUUGGUGAGGUAAUGGCUCACCAAGGCGACGACGGGUAGCCGGCCUGAGAGGGCGACCGGCCACACUGGGACUGAGACACGGCCCAGACUCCUACGGGAGGCAGCAGUGGGGAAUAUUGCACAAUGGGCGAAAGCCUGAUGCAGCGACGCCGCGUGAGGGAUGAAGGCCUUCGGGUUGUAAACCUCUUUCAGUAGGGAAGAAGCGCAAGUGACGGUACCUACAGAAGAAGCACCGGCUAACUACGUGCCAGCAGCCGCGGUAAUACGUAGGGUGCGAGCGUUGUCCGGAAUUAUUGGGCGUAAAGAGCUUGUAGGCGGUUUGUCGCGUCUGCCGUGAAAAUCCGGGGCUCAACUCCGGACUUGCGGUGGGUACGGGCAGACUAGAGUGUGGUAGGGGAGACUGGAAUUCCUGGUGUAGCGGUGAAAUGCGCAGAUAUCAGGAGGAACACCGAUGGCGAAGGCAGGUCUCUG